AGAGUUUGAUCCUGGCUCAGGAUGAACGCUGGCGGCGUGCCUAACACAUGCAAGUCGAGCGAAGCGAUUUUGAGGAAGUUUUCGGAUGGAAUCGAAAUUGACUUAGCGGCGGACGGGUGAGUAACACGUGGGUAAUCUGCCUUAUACAGGGGGAUAACAGUUAGAAAUGACUGCUAAUACCGCAUAAGCGCACGGGGACGCAUGUUUCAGUGUGAAAAACUCCGGUAGUAUAAGAUGAGCCCGCGUCUGAUUAGCUGGUUGGUGGGGUAACGGCCACCAAGGCGACGAUCAGUAGCCGGCCUGAGAGGGUGAACGGCCACAUUGGGACUGAGACACGGCCCAAACUCCUACGGGAGGCAGCAGUGGGGAAUAUUGCACAAUGGGGGAAACCCUGAUGCAGCGACGCCGCGUGAGUGAAGAAGUAUUUCGGUAUGUAAAGCUCUAUCAGCAGGGAAGAAAAUGACGGUACCUGACUAAGAAGCCCCGGCUAACUACGUGCCAGCAGCCGCGGUAAUACGUAGGGGGCAAGCGUUAUCCGGAUUUACUGGGUGUAAAGGGAGCGUAGACGGCGCGGCAAGUCUGAAGUGAAAGGCAGGGGCUUAACCCCUGAACUGCUUUGGAAACUGCCAUGCUAGAGUGCUGGAGAGGUAAGUGGAAUUCCUAGUGUAGCGGUGAAGUGCGUAGAUAUUAGGAGGAACACCAGUGGCGAAGGCGGCUUACUGGACAGUAACUGACGUUGAGGCUCGAAAGCGUGGGGAGCAAACAGGAUUAGAUACCCUGGUAGUCCAUGCCGUAAACGAUGAUUACUAGGUGUGGUGUGUCUGACCCCCUCCGUGCCCGGAGUUAACACAAUAAGUAAUCCACCUGGGGAGUACGGCCGCAAGGCUGAAACUCAAAGGAAUUGACGGGGGCCCGCACAAGCAGUGGAGUAUGUGGAUUAAUUCGAAGCAACGCGAAGAACCUUACCAGGUCUUGACAUCCCGGUGACCGGCUUAGAGAUAAGCUUUCCCUUCGGGGCACUGGUGACAGGUGGUGCAUGGUUGUCGUCAGCUCGUGUCGUGAGAUGUUGGGUUAAGUCCCGCAACGAGCGCAACCCUUACUGUUAGUUGCUACGCAAGAGCACUCUAGCAGGACCGCCGUUGACAAAACGGAGGAAGGUGGGGAUGAUGUCAAAUCAUCAUGCCCCUUAUGACCUGGGCCUCACACGUACUACAAUGGCCAUUAACAGAGGGAAGCAAUACCGCGAGGUGGAGCAAAACCCCAAAAAUGGUCUCAGUUCGGAUCGCAGGCUGCAACCCGCCUGCGUGAAGUUGGAAUUGCUAGUAAUCGCGGAUCAGCAUGCCGCGGUGAAUACGUUCCCGGGCCUUGCACACACCGCCCGUCA
rnacentral:rRNA from 1 species